ACUAGUGAUUCAAGGUUUCCGUAGGUGAACCAGCGGAGGGAUCAUUA
rnacentral:rRNA from 1 species